GUGUGUGUGUGUGUCGACUGAACCAAGGGGAAACAAACCCCAAGCCCUCAAGUUCUACAAAUUCAGCAAAUUGAAGCAGAAUUCUUGGUCCAAAUCAAUGCAUGUUUGCAUAAAAACGAUCAUCUAAGCUAGACAAACGAAUGGAAUAAAAGAAGAAAGUUCAAGUCAAUCCGGGUCGCAAGCGAAGGACGGCAAAGGUAAAUCUACUUGUUAAAUGGCGUCACUCGGAUCGAACACACUCAUGAAGCACGCUUCCGCAAGGAUAUUAGCUUUGGUCAAAACUUUUGUUAAAUGCUCUCCUUUUGUUGUAAACGGGUCUU
rnacentral:lncRNA from 1 species